CGGGGUCGGGCUUACCGGCACAGGAGUGCAGCGGCUUGGGCCGGACCAGCAGCGACGGGCACACGGAGUAGAGCGAAAGUUUCUCGAAGUAGUCGCAGGUCUCCUUGGAGAGGAUCUCGUCGAUCAUGAAGGAGACAAAAUAAUUACCAGCAACAUUACCUUCAGCAAUUAGUGCUUCCUGCAAAGGAUAUUUCGGGAGCAACAUCCUGAGCAAGCCAGUGAUUUACCCCCCGGAGCAGCAGCAAAGCUUCCCUCGGUGUCCGGGCAGGAGCUGCAGCCCCUCCACCCCUCCCCAAAUCCCUCCUGCAUUCACCGCCUGUGCAAAACCCCAGAGCACGGGAAUGUUUCCUAAACCGAGAGCACAACACUGCGAAUCCAAGAGUACUCCAAGAUCCUGACUGGAUCAGAAACCAAGAGGCGAAGCAAAGCGUGGGCUCGCUGAACUCACACACAGCCUGAUCCCGGGACAAGAGUUCUCUGCUCGUCCUUAAACAUUUCCUUCUCCCACCUGAAGAGCUGAAUAUCCCGAGGAGAGGGGCUGGCACCUCUGCCCGUGCCCUGGGAACGCAGUGCCCUCACCUGAGCCCAGGGGGAUGGACUGGCACGUGGGGUCAGCGCAAAACUUGAUUUCUUUCUAUUUAUGAUUUUUUAAAAAAGCAAGCGGCCAGAGCAACACGCGGGUUACGCCGUCUGAAACACACGCUGGCUGUCAAUCAAAAAGGGGGUGCUUUGGUGGGGAAUAAUCAGGGGUUUUGUUUCCAAAAUUAAUGAAGUGGCUGGAGUAGCGAACAUCUGCCAGGGGGACUCAAACCCCGAGCAGCUGUUGGAGCCCCCAGGCCCCUUCCCACGCAGGACAGCCCUGCUGGAAGUGCCUGUCCCGGAGGUGUCUCUCGGGCCGGGAAUGGGGCCGGCCGGCAGGCUGGGGAGGGAAAGGCACCUCGGGGAGGUUUGAGGGCAGAGCCCUGACGAAAUUUGGGUGUGUGAGCCCGGAAUCCGCACAGUGUGGAAGUGGGGGGACAGCAGGGACAAGGAUUGCUGCCUUUCCCACCAGGGAAUUAACUCAAGGGGCAGGAAAGGCACGGCAGGAGACGUUCUGAACUGGGGGCUUCUGCACACAACUUGAUUUAAUUCUGCGACAAUUGGUGCUCCCAGACCCUUUGUGAGCAGCACUGGAGCCAGUGCAGGGCACCCUGGAAAAAUUAUUGAGCACCUUAGGGCUGUCCUGUUUAGUCCCAGCACAAACAGUAUCAUCAGACAGUGAUUAAGGCACAUGGGAAUUAAGGUGCUGCUGUAUUACUGAAGUUGUUAUUGAGGUAGUACCCAAGUACCUGCUUCUGCUCAGGGCAGAGUUAGCUGGUUGUGAUUUCUUGCUUCUGUAUUUAUACGUUGCCAAGUACCCUGGGAUCGCUUCCCCAAGGAAAGGAAUUCUGUGUAGUGGGUUUUCAGCUCGCUGGUUUUCCACAUUCAAACAAGAGUUUAAAAUGCAAACCCUUUUUGACAGAAUGGGCAGGACAAGCUGAAGUGCCAAAGCCUUAAAGUGCACUGGCUCUUGUUCUGAAUUCCCUUUUCCAUAUCAAAAGGGCAAAGAUACCUCUCCAAGCCCCUGACAUUACCAGGUUUAAUCACUAGAAAAGUCCCUUUUCCAGUGAAAUCCAACCACCUUUGAAAACAGAUAUGUACAGACAUAACCAAUCCUGCUAAACACUGCACUCUGAUCUCCAGUGUCUGCCUUUUUCAGCGUGAUAUUGGGCUGGAUACUUGAUCCAGAAUAGAAAAAUCCAGUGUGUGGCCAGAAGGAGGGAAGGCAGAGUUUGGGCCAGCGUUUCACUCCAGGGGAUCCAGAGGCUUUGUCCUCUCGGUGUGAAAGGUCUCGGUGCAUAAAAAUCCCUUUGAGUAAAAGAUCUCAGCAUCUGCCUCACAUAAAUAAAAGUGAAUUUGUAGUAUCUGCCCCAUGCCAGAGGAAAGGGCAUUGCCCAGGAAGGCUCUUUUGAAGCCUGGAAGAGCGUAAAACAUCCCACACAGAGGGUAAACCCACUUUAUGUGUGGCUAAUGAGCCCCUUGGUCCUCUCUGUUCCCCUGACAGCAAUGCUUUCUCAGAGAGAGACACCUCUGAGCAGGGUCUCCUCCCCAUCUCCUGGAAAGCCUCUGGAAAAGCAGGAUCCCAGCACAGGAUGGAGGGGAAAGUUUAGUGUUUCUUGACCCUGAACUUUACCUUUGCAGAUGGCAAGAUGAUACCUCGGGGCACCCCAGUGUGUGAGGAAACAGAAACCCCAGAGCAGAGCAGUAACUGCACAUACUCACACACACCACCCCUUCAGUCAUGGUCAGAAUAAACCAAGGUGCCAAAUUAUUCUGAAAGCUGAACUAUCAACUGGGACACCUUUGUUUUAUUUCCUCUUCUGCCCCAAGCCUUAAAUCUAAUCUGCUUUGCUUAGAGCCAACUUUGAAUUAUCUAGAAAUAGAGUAUAAUGGUAUUUAUAAUGUGAAUGAUCCACUGGCCAGUCCCCAAAUUAAUUAAGAUGCUCUGCUUUAAAGUAAUAGUACAGCUAAUAACCAUUUUUAUUAGUGCUGAAAACACACAAGCCAUCAAGUUCAUCCCACAGGCUGUGAAGUUCCUCAGAAGGAGAUCUAGAUGUGGCUUCAGAUUUACAUGGAGAGAAACUGAGGCAAAGGCCUCACUCACCAUCACAUCUUUCCAGGCAGGGUAUAAUCUAAAUCCCAGCAUUUUCCCCUGUGACUUUAUUUCCCCCCCCAGCAGCACUGGGGGCUGUGACACAGUGCCUUGAUCAUUUCCAGUAACCCCUCAGCAGGGAUUUGUUUUUCCAGGCUAUGGCUGGCAGGAUCUGGGCUCAUAAGCCAGGAAUAAGGAGUUUGGGAGUGGCAGCCAGGAAGGCAAAGAGCAUUUUGUGUCACCCUGAGCAGGAAAACACACGGGUGGCUCUCGCUGUGGAGCAGAGAUUGUACCAGUCAUGGCCAGGCUGUUGCUGAGGAGGAAAGAAAAAAUCCUGGAGAACAUCCCAGAAGGCAACUGUUUCUGCUCCUGUCCCAGUCACACCACCUGAGGGGCCAGUUUGGGCAAGACAGAAGCACCUGGUCCCCUACUAUUCCUCCCCAGUAUCCGUGGGACAAUAAAUUGUGUUUUCCCCAUGCACCCAUUUCUCCAGUGAAUUCCACACUGCUGUGACAACCCAACCCCAAGGGCAAGGAAGCACCAAACCAUCCCCAUCCUCAUCCACCCCACAGCGCUGACAUCCCCAGGGUGCCAAUGAAAACAGAGACAACUAUUUUAAUAUGGCCAAGGUAACAAAAAUCUCAUUUAACCCACUUUCCUGGAGGGCCUGGAGCCAAUGGUGAGGGGAAGUGUCUGAUCUCAUGAGAAAAAGUGUUUGGAACUGGAACAUCUUUCAAAAAGAACCCCCAAUUAUUGGCAGGGAAGGCUUCCCAAAUCUACCACUGCCUCACUCUUUAAUCCCCGCUCCAGCCUCAUUUGGAUGAGGAUCCACAUGUGAAUGCUCACUGCUCCAUCCAGCUUUGCCUAAGGCCAAUUAUUUUUUGCACAAGUCUUGCUAAAUCUCUGCCAAGCUGGAUGGUAGCGUGUUAAAAAGGAAAAAAAAAUCAAAAAAUAUUUCCAACGCCUUCAAUAAAACAGUCAGGAUGUUUUGGUGUUCUGUGA